rnacentral:rRNA from 1 species
UCGAAAGACGGACUUAGUGAUCCGGUGGUUCCGCAUGGAAGGGCCAUCGCUCAACGGAUAAAAGCUACCCCGGGGAUAACAGGCUUAUCUCCCCCAAGAGUUCACAUCGACGGGGAGGUUUGGCACCUCGAUGUCGGCUCAUCGCAUCCUGGGGCUGUAGUCGGUCCCAAGGGUUGGGCUGUUCGCCCAUUAAAGCGGUACGCGAGCUGGGUUCAGAACGUCGUGAGACAGUUCGGUCCCUAUCCGUCGUGGGCGUAGGAAAUUUGAGAGGAGCUGUCCUUAGUACGAGAGGACCGGGAUGGACAUACCUCUGGUGUACCAGUUGUCGUGCCAACGGCAUAGCUGGGUAGCUAUGUGUGGACGGGAUAAGUGCUGAAAGCAUCUAAGCAUGAAGCCCCCCUCAAGAUGAGAUUUCCCAACUUCGGUUAUAAGAUCCCUCAAAGAUGAUGAGGUUAAUAGGUUCGAGGUGGAAGCAUGGUGACAUGUGGAGCUGACGAAUACUAAUCGAUCGAAGACUUAAUCAA